rnacentral:tRNA from 1 species
GUUUUUAUAGUUUAUAAAAAACAUUGGUCUUGUAAGUCAAAAUUAAGAUUCUUUCUUUAAAAACU